ACUCGAUCCGGAUUCCGCCUCGUAUGCUCUCCAAGCCUUCGCCACCUCCGCAGGCGCUCUAGAAAGGCGUGAUGGCCCCAGCUCAGUGCCCGCCAGCCCGAAGAGGACAAGCAGGGCUGGAAGGGACUUGGUUUUGGAAAAAGCCCCACCCGCCCCCACCAACUGGAAGGAAAAGGAAUUAGUAUCCACCGCAUCUGUUUAACUGCUAAUAGAUCCCAGAUUACGGGCAGGUAGUAGGUUGGUGUCUUUAGAUACAACAGCCUGAUAAUAACGCUGGUGACAUUAACAACAGCUUGUGGAGGGGAGAGGGUUGUUACUGGUGAAAGUUAAGAGAUUCAAUCUAGGGAAGUAGGAGACUGAACUCUGACAAGGUUAGGGGCACUGAGAACCCCAAUUUAGCAUCGAUGCAUCUACCAGGCAAGAAAAUUUGCGUUUUGACCCAGAACUCAGUCAUGAUGCUCCGUAGAGGAGGUGGAUUCGACCAGCAGACAGAUGUCCCCAAAGUCGAGAGAGAGCUAAGCUGCCUAUUUUCUCUCCAGGUGAAAGACAAAGCCUAGAGCACCCCACUUAAGAUGACCACCCCCAGCUCUUUCAAAAAAAAAAAAUCCCCCGAAGAGACAGCGUGGUGCCAGCGUAGCAGCAGCUCGGCCGGUUACUGGAAACUUCACCUGGCAACGCAGCCCCUUUUACCUGACGGCUGCGUCUUCUCCUUGCAAUGGGCUCAUCCGAAUCCGACAGGGUCAGGGAGGUGGAAAGGGAAGACGCUGGCGCGGCAGCAGCGGGGAUCCCGGGGCAUGGUAUUGUUUUAGGGGUCGCCGCCGAGGUCCCUCCUGCCCAUCGUUGAGAACUGCCACCCUGAUCCCAGGGCUCGGUGGACACGGCGGCGGGAGCGGAGAUGCCGCCUCGCCGCUGCUGGGCACCAGGGACGGAGGACCAGAGGCGCACCUCGGAAAGGAGUAGCUCAGCGCCUUGGCGCGGAGAUUUGCGGGCACUGAUGAUAUCUCGAGCGCUCGUUCCUCCGCGGUGACAAUGGAUAAUGCCAAACGCGCAAGUGACGGCGACAGGUUUCGAACGUACAACUAACUACAAGGUACCCAGCCUGAGACAGUAUGCUGCUUUUCCCCUCCUCCUCCUCUCCCUCCUACCAGGGAGGGAACUAACUUAACCCUGUGUGCGCCUGACACUCCCUAGAGAAGCUGGGAUCGACUAGGAAACCGCAGGCAGCGGCUCCCGGGGGCGAGAGCUUUGUUCACGUGCGUUUCCAGUGGGUGUGUUGCUGUCUAGGGGCACUCGCGUGGCAAGACGCCCGUGGCUGGCUUCCAGCGCCCAAGAUUCAAGGAAGGGAAGGAGCCCUAGCGUUUCAUCCGGACCAGACCCAGCCCUCGGAGUCUAUUUUUUGCCUCCAGUUACCGGAUUUAUUGAAGUUGCCAGCGAAGUUGGUUUUAUUCCUUUACUUCUCUGCUCUCCGCCCCCGUCCACAUCCCCCAACCCUGUAUUAUUUCCUGUCCUAGCUGCGCUUUAAAGAUUCGGAACUUUUCACUCGUUCUAGCUACAGAUUUUAACUGUGUUCCGUGUGCGAGACGAAUUGUGGAGGGCACCCACCCACCCAUGCCAAGUGUAAAUGAAACCGCAAGAAAAGCUGCCUCCCACUCACCCAUCCAGUGUCCGAGUAAGCCUAAUGACACACAUUCACAUAACUAAGAAGACACGGGAAGAUAGGGGUGCGGAGGACGGAGUUUGAUGUGUGAAUGGGAAAUGGAGAGAGGGGACAGCGCGCGCGAGAGAAACAGCGCGAGCCUGAGCCUUAGAAUGGAAUAAACGGGAAACACACACAAGAAUGACGAUGCAAAAAAUGUAUCUAAGUCCCAACAUUGACAGCAGAGGGUCAGCUUUAAGCGCCUACAUUUUGAUCCGCGAAAUUUCCCAGCUUUUUUGGAGGCGGUUACAUAGAGAACACAGGAGCCUCUGCCUUGGCCGCCCAGAUGCUUUGCAUUUUGUAAACAGCUUUGACUAAGUGCUCUGGACUUCCAAGAAGUUAACUGGAGUGGAAGGCGAGUCAUAUUGUGGAUGCGGAAUGGAAGCUUAGACAAGAAAAAACUGUCAGCAGAGCGCCUCUGCUCUCACCGUCACACCCAAAUGAGCCAGGACGUCGCUCAGAGCGCAAACUGAGAUCCACACAGGGACAUCUUCAACCGAAUCUUUCUUCUGUCUCCAUUCCGGACUAAGGAAAGAAAGAAAGAAAUACGGAGCCUUUAUAGAGUAUUCAGAGGCUACACACAUGGAUCUUGCUGAAACGGAGUUAUUUAAAAACAGAGAAAGUGUGUUUUCCCAUGAGAUAGAUGUUAUAGUUUCUCUCUGAAACAUACCCAAGUCUAUGGGUGUCAAUAAUAGCCAUUUCAAAUGCCUCUCUGAGCCUUGCCAGCCCCAGAAGAGGCUGUGGGAAUGCUGCUUCCAGCUUCCCCUGUGCAGAACUCCGUUGUAAAUCCUUCUGAGUUUCCAAGGUGGCAGCAGAGCAUAGGGAUAGCUCCUCAAGCUCCAGCAUCAACAAGGAAGAUCACAUUUUAGGACAAAUACUCAUCUACCUGCAUUUAAACAUCCAUUUUCGUAUGUAAGUGUACAUAAGUAUCCGCAGGAGGUUCUUCCUUUGAAAUCUUGAUCCAGGAAAGCAGCAUAAUUAUUUCAUCUUUAAGAACACAUUUUAAAAAGGCAAAGCAGGAUCUUUAAAGCAACAAAGGUUUUGCUUUCUGAUUUAUGCUGCUAGAAAAUGAAUGAGAUUGAAAAUGGGGGAGGGGGUGGUUGCAGAUUUACAGAAUUCAUACUUUAAAUUAUUGGUGUUUCUAAACCAUGAGCAAACCAUGUUAUGAGUAUGUGCCACCUAUUAAAAGCUAUUGGUUGCAUCUAUUGUAAUCACGACAAGGAAAAUUAAGUAAGAAAAAAUAUCACGCCAAAGUACAAGCAGAAUCGUUGUAACAAAUUUCUUAUGCACAUGACCUAUGAGUCAGCUUUAGAAAUGUGUGAUGAUGGGGCCAGAGGAAGCAAACGAAUAGGAAAUGUGGCUCAGGGACUCCAAAGAGCAAUAAUUUUGCAGACUUAGAAAACUAUAACAAUUAGGUUACUUUAUUUUUAUUAGGAAACUCACUGAUCCAUAAGAGAAGUGGGUGAAAGAAAAACAAAAAGCAAAUCUGCAAGCUUCAAAAAACAGAGGGUCAGCCCACUAUUCUUAAGACUUCAGUCCUCAAUAGUUUUCCUUUCAAUUGAAAUUGAUUGUCAUCUCAAACACUUUAAUCCCCCACCCGCGUGUUUCUUACAUCAUUCCCCAUCUAUACACACAUAGGUACCUUGGCCUUUCUUUUCUAAUACUUUGUGAAAGUAAAAAUAACACAGUAUAAUAAGAUCAUGAUUUGAGCUCAGUUUUGAUCUUGGGUAAAUUCAACUCUGAGGUGCCUCUUCAUUUUUAAAAUGGACAUUAAAAAAAUCCCUGUUCUGCCAGCCUUAUAACAUUGUCCCACCAUGAGUCAGCAUAUGUGAAAGUGCUUUAGAAAUUUGACUUGUUGUUACUACUACUGAUAUUAUCAUUACAUCACACCGUAUCAGCCUUCAAAAUAUUGACAAAUUAUAUUAGUGUAAACAUUGUCAGUCUCCCCUGAUGUUAUCAUCUUAUAUUACCUUAGAACAUUUAUCAAAACUAAGAAACCAGCUACAUUGCUAUUAACUAAACCUUAAACUUUACUCAUAUUUCAUCAGUUUUUCCACUAAGUCUUUUUCCUGUUUCAGGAUCUCAUCUAGGAUACCACAAUGACUUUAAAUAUCCUGUCUCCUGUAUUCUGUAUAGUUCUUCAGUCUUUUCUUGUUUCGUAUGAUCCUGUAAGUUUUGAGAAGUGAUAGUCAGGUAUUUUGUAGACUAUCUACCACUUUUGGUUCAUCUGAAGUUUUCUCAUGAUUAGAUUCUAGCUAUAGUUCUUGGUAAAAAGCAUCAGAGGUGGAAUGCCUUACUGAUCACAUCAUGUCAGCUGGCACAUGAUAUCAGCAUGAUGCCACUGAUGACAUUAACAUUCUCCAAGAUAUUUCAUACCAGGGUUCUCUACUGUAAAGUUAUUUGCCCUUUCAAUACUCUGUUCUUUGAAAGUGAGUCACUAAAUCUGGCCUACCCUUAGGAAUUUAGAAA
rnacentral:lncRNA from 1 species